AACUAACGCUAUUAUUGAUACAGUUUUUGUACUAUAUUGGUACGGGAAGCUUCCAACCCCCCUUUGGGGGUUAUGUUUGGUCAAUUUUUUUUGACCGGGGUUUACGGACCCC
rnacentral:misc_RNA from 1 species